GACGAACGCUGGCGGCGUGCUUAACACAUGCAAGUCGUACGGUAAGGCCCUUUCGGGGGUACACGAGUGGCGAACGGGUGAGUAACACGUGAGUAACCUGCCCACAACUUUGGGAUAACGCUAGGAAACUGGUGCUAAUACUGGAUAUGUUCUCCUGCUGCAUGGUGGGGGUUGGAAAGCUCCGGCGGUUGUGGAUGGACUCGCGGCCUAUCAGCUUGUUGGUGGGGUAGUGGCCUACCAAGGCGGCGACGGGUAGCCGGCCUGAGAGGGUGACCGGCCACAUUGGGACUGAGAUACGGCCCAGACUCCUACGGGAGGCAGCAGUGGGGAAUAUUGCACAAUGGGCGCAAGCCUGAUGCAGCAACGCCGCGUGCGGGAUGACGGCCUUCGGGUUGUAAACCGCGUUCAGCAGGGACGAAGCUUUUUGUGACGGUACCUGCAGAAGAAGCACCGGCUAACUACGUG
rnacentral:rRNA from 1 species